rnacentral:rRNA from 1 species
GACGAACGCUGGCGGCGUGCUUAACACAUGCAAGUCGAACGGAAAGGCCCUGCUUUUGUGGGGUGCUCGAGUGGCGAACGGGUGAGUAACACGUGAGUAACCUGCCCUUGACUUUGGGAUAACUUCAGGAAACUGGGGAUAAUACAGGAUAGGAGCUCCUGAUGCAUGGUGGGGGUUGGAAAGUUUCGGCGGUUGGGGAUGGAAUAGCGGCUUAUCAGCUUGUUGGUGGGGUAGUGGCUUACCAAGGUUUUGAAGGGUAGCCGGCCUGAGAGGGUGACCGGCCACAUUGGGACUGAGAUACGGCCCAGACUCCUACGGGAGGCAGCAGUGGGGAAUAUUGCACAAUGGGCGGAAGCCUGAUGCAGCAACGCCGCGUGCGGGAUGACGGCCUUCGGGUUGUAAACCGCUUUCGCCUGUGACGAAGCGUGAUUGACGGUAAUGGGUAAGGAAGCACCGGCUAACUACGUG